rnacentral:rRNA from 1 species
CGCUGGCGGCGUGCUUAACACAUKCAAGUCGAACGYUGAAGCCUGCAGCUUGCUGUGGGUGGAUGAGUGGCGAACGGGUGAGUAACACGUGAGUAACCUGCCCCUGACUYUGGGAUAAGCCCGGGAAAMUGGGUCUAAUACCGGAUAUGACCAUUCUCCGCAUGGAGUGGUGGUGGAAAGUUUUUCGGUUGGGGAUGGGCUCGCGGCCUAUCAGCUUGUUGGUGGGGKGAUGGCCUACCAAGGCGACGACGGGUAGCCGGCCUGAGAGGGCGACCGGCCACACUGGGACUGAGACACGGCCCMGACUCCUACGGGAGGCAGCAGUGGGGAAUAUUGCACAAUGGGGGAAACCCUGAUGCAGMGACGCCGCGUGGGGGAWGACGGCCUUCGGGUUGUAAACCUCUUUCAGUAGGGAAGAAGCC